rnacentral:lncRNA from 1 species
GGAUCACAAAACUUCAAUGAAACGUGGGAGAACUACAAAUAUGGUUUUGGGAGGCUUGAUGGAGAAUUUUGGUUGGGCCUAGAGAAGAUAUACUCCAUAGUGAAGCAAUCUAAUUAUGUUUUACGAAUUGAGUUGGAAGACUGGAAAGACAACAAACAUUAUAUUGAAUAUUCUUUUUACUUGGGAAAUCACGAAACCAACUAUACGCUACAUCUAGUUGCGAUUACUGGCAAUGUCCCCAAUGCAAUCCCGGAAAACAAAGAUUUGGUGUUUUCUACUUGGGAUCACAAAGCAAAAGGACACUUCAACUGUCCAGAGGGUUAUUCAGGUAUCUUUUUCUGAUACCAAUACUUUAUUUUCAUAUCUUCAAAGUAUCUUCCCACAUUAUUAGCUAUUAUCUGCAAUGACAACUUUUAAAAAUCCGAAUCCCAAAUAAGCGUUUUCUCUCUAGACGAAAACCUCUUAACUAUAAUGAAAGUGUUCAUUCUAGUUCAAUCAGGUAUUUUACCUCUAAUCUUCCUCAGAUUUUCUAUUUUUUGGUAGUGUAUAGAUUAUUUAUACAGAUUAUUUAAAAUUGGGACUUAUACAGAUUAUUUAAAACUGGGAUACAUGCAUCUAAAACACUGUAAUAUUUAUAAGAAAGGAAGAUAAACUUACGGGGAAAUACAGUAACAGUAACUACAUACGAGUCUGUACCCAUUAAAUUGCAUAUCUAUCUCCUUUAGGAGGCUGGUGGUGGCAUGAUGAGUGU